rnacentral:rRNA from 1 species
GGCAGGCCUAACACAUGCAAGUCGAGGGGUAGAGUUAGCUUGCUAACUUGAGACCGGCGCACGGGUGCGUAACGCGUAUGCAAUCUACCUUAUACAGGGGAAUAGCCCAGAGAAAUUUGGAUUAAUGCCCCAUAGUAUUAUCGAGUGGCAUCAUUUGAUAAUUAAAGUUCCAACGGUAUAAGAUGAGCAUGCGUCCCAUUAGUUAGUUGGUAAGGUAACGGCUUACCAAGACUAUGAUGGGUAGGGGUCCUGAGAGGGAGAUCCCCCACACUGGUACUGAGACACGGACCAGACUCCUACGGGAGGCAGCAGUGAGGAAUAUUGGACAAUGGGCGCAAGCCUGAUCCAGCCAUGCCGCGUGCAGGAAGACGGUCCUAUGGAUUGUAAACUGCUUUUAUACAGGAAGAAACACCGCUACGUGUAGCGGCUUGACGGUACUGUAAGAAUAAGGAUCGGCUAACUCCGUGCCAGCAGCCGCGGUAAUACGGAGGAUCCAAGCGUUAUCCGGAAUCAUUGGGUUUAAAGGGUCCGUAGGCGGCCUUAUAAGUCAGUGGUGAAAUCUCCUAGCUCAACUAGGAAACUGCCAUUGAUACUGUAGGGCUUGAAUUAUUAGGAAGUAACUAGAAUAUGUAGUGUAGCGGUGAAAUGCUUAGAUAUUACAUGGAAUACCAAUUGCGAAGGCAGGUUACUACUAAUACAUUGACGCUGAUGGACGAAAGCGUGGGUAGCGAACAGGAUUAGAUACCCUGGUAGUCCACGCCGUAAACGAUGGAUACUAGCUGUUCGGAGCAAUCUGAGUGGCUAAGCGAAAGUGAUA